rnacentral:rRNA from 1 species
AGCUCUCAAAGUGUAUGUCAUUAUUGCUGCGGUUAAAAAGCUCGUAGUUGGAUCUGAGCCUUUGGAUACGGUUCACUUUCAGGUGAUACUGGCUCCGGGGUUAAUUUCGUCGGUUCUCCGGCGAGAGUUACUCUGAAUAAAUCAGAGUGCUCAAAACAAGCGUUUCGCUUGAAUGUUUUUGCAUGGAAUAAUGGAAAAGGACUUCGGUUCCUUACUGUUGGUUUCGGAAUUGGAUUAAUGAUUAAGAGGGACCAACGGGGGCAUGCGUACCGCUACGCGAGAGGUGAAAUUCAUGGACCGUAGCGUGACGAACUAAAGCGAAAGCAUUUGCCAAGAAUGUUUUCA